rnacentral:misc_RNA from 1 species
UGAAGACGCGGCGGCGCUCUAAAAGCAUCGCGUGCGGCCUCUCCUCCUUUUUUUUCUUCAGCCACAGGGCCCCUACAUAUGAACAUGUGCAAAAACAAGCAUCUUAUCUGCUCGCUCCCUUUUUCACGACGACACGAUAGCUGUACUUCGGUGUUCUACAUGAUGCUCUUGACGUCCACCCGUGUGGCCAUAGGUGUUUCGUCCUUCGGUGCUCAAUCCUGUGCAGUACGUUCUCACUGUUUCGUCACCAUUCAGUGUAGUGCUUAUUUUUGCUGACAGUGUAGCUUGCGUCUUCCUCUGCGCUUCUGUCAGCGUGUCGUCAUGCGGCUUCCCAGUUACCAGUUAUUGAGGAGGCCGGCAUACUGACAAAGGAGUUCGCCCAGCGGUUUUGAGAGAAUGACACUGUGUACACGGGCUGCGCAAGAAGAGAGGACCCCCACCAAUAUGUGUAAGAGCACUCGUGACGGUGCAAGAGAUGUAUCACAGCUUGUCUUGUGAGCAGCUUAAUGUCUGCGUGUGUUCUCUCCCGCACAAAAAGAUGCUGGCGUUCUUCUCGACGAGAGUCGCAGCGAUGCUACUCCCGCCACCCCUAGUGGGGCAAGGCCUGGCCCUGGCCGAAAGUCUGCUUGCAAGAUAAAUACGGCCUGCGAGCGUAGCGAAGACGCGGCGAAAUGUGCCCUCCCUGAAUGUGGGGUAAUGCUGUAGAGCACCUGCGACGAUCCGGAGCGUCAGCGAACAUACAUCACGUUCUUUUCGUCCCUUCCCCUUCUCUUUCUCUCCACACCGCCGCGCGACACCAUUGACGGAGCCACCGCUUCCCUUUUCUCUGAUCAAAUUUUCCAUCUUACGGUGGUGCCGGUACGGUUCUGCCUCCUCCUAAUUUCUCUUAUUGCUGUGUGUGUGGCCCCCUCUCCAUAUCUUCAGUUUCAAGUGACCCCUUCGAGAAAAAAAAGUGCUCGCCGUGCUCUCUUCAGACCCCAUGCACUGCCUGCAUGCACCCUUUGCGCUGUUGGCAUAAUAUGCACUGGAAUGGUGGCCCCUCUCUCCCUUUCGCUUCGCAUGCCAAGCAGCUAUGACCACAUUCUCUGCUGAAAUACCUCCCCUUUCUCCGCCCUUUUCCCAGCGACGCCACCCCUCUUGUUCUUUGUCUUCUCGGCGCUCCACGACACAG